rnacentral:rRNA from 1 species
AACGAACGCUGGCGGCAGGCUUAACACAUGCAAGUCGAGCGCCUCGCAAGAGGAGCGGCAGACGGGUGAGUAACACGUGGGAACAUACCCAUCUCUGCGGAACAACCACGGGAAACUGGAGCUAAUACCGCAUACGCCCUUAGGGGGAAAGAUUUAUCGGAGAUGGAUUGGCCCGCGUUGGAUUAGCUAGUUGGUGGGGUAAAGGCCUACCAAGGCGACGAUCCAUAGCUGGUCUGAGAGGAUGAUCAGCCACAUUGGGACUGAGACACGGCCCAAACUCCUACGGGAGGCAGCAGUGGGGAAUAUUGGACAAUGGGCGCAAGCCUGAUCCAGCCAUGCCGCGUGAGUGAUGAAGGCCUUAGGGUUGUAAAGCUCUUUCACCGAUGAAGAUAAUGACGGUAGUCGGAGAAGAAGCCCCGGCUAACUUCGUGCCAGCCGCCGCGGUAA